UGGGGAAUAUUGCGCAAUGGGCGAAAGCCUGACGCAGCAACGCCGCGUGAGUGAUGAAGGCCUUCGGGUCGUAAAGCUCUUUCGGCGGGGACGAAACGGUUCGUGACAACACCACGGACUAAUGACGGUACCCGCAUAAGAAGCACCGGCUAACUACGUGCCAGCAGCCGCGGUAAUACGUAGGGUGCAGGCGUUAAUCGGAAUUACUGGGCGUAAAGCGUGCGCAGGCGGUUUGUUAAGACAGGUGUGAAAUCCCCGGGCUUAACCUGGGAAUUGCGCUUGUAACUGGCAGGCUAGAGUGUGGCAGAGGGGGGUGGAAUUCCACGUGUAGCAGUGAAAUGCGUAGAUAUGUGGAGGAACACCGAUGGCGAAGGCAGCCCCCUGGGUUAACACUGACGCUCAUGCACGAAAGCGUGGGGAGCAAACAGGAUUAGAUACCCGGGUAGUCCCUGAGCGGGCUGGCAAGGCGCAU
rnacentral:rRNA from 1 species